UGACUGAAAUGUUUCUAUCAAGAACAUUCUGCAUUGAGCUUCCACUUUAAUAAACAAACUUGGAGUCAGAAACCAUAGCUAAUGUCUGAAUUUUUGAAAAAUACUAGCACUGGCUCGUUAAAAAGUCAAUUUAAGGAUGAUCCAUAAUUUGAACUGGAUACAGGUAGUGGCAAAACAACUUGAAGAACUUAAAUGUUCAAAGGUGGCCAAACCUGAAUGUGUCUCUUGAUGGGAUCUACUACUGUGCCGUUGCCUCAUGUGGAUGCAUACUGUCUGGAAAUGGGACCAAGCUCAACUGCAAAGAAAAACUGGAUUCUCUUGUCUUGUUUUACAUCUUAACCGGAACUUUGGCCUUCGCCAUCAUCCUGAUGGUUAUAUUGGUGUACACAUCCUACAAACUGUACAAGACAAAGAACUGCAAUUGUUACAAUGUGAUAGAUACUUUAUAAUUUAUGGUACAUGUUAAACCGAAGUGAUAAGGCCAGAAGGCCAAGAAACAGACAUUAUCCAACAAACAAACCAUAGUGGUAGAUUUUAUUUGCCUUGAUUAACACAAAACAUUAUUUAUUUUUUUAUUAACUAUACUGCUAACUUGUUUUGGAGCAGAUUUUGAGGUAUUACUGUAUAAAUUUAUAUGUUGCAUACAAACAAAUAUGUUUUCAUUUACCUUCAACAAUGACUGCCAAAAUCAGUAAUUGGUUAAUGAAGAUUAAUUUGUGAGCCAAUCUGUGUUAUUACUUUAACAUAGCUAUAAUAAAAUACAGUUGGUGA